rnacentral:rRNA from 1 species
ACUCCUACGGGAGGCAGCAGUGGGGAAUUUUGGACAAUGGGCGCAAGCCUGAUCCAGCCAUGCCGCGUGCGGGAAGAAGGCCUUCGGGUUGUAAACCGCUUUUGUCAGGGAAGAAAAGGUUCUGGCUAAUACCUGGGACUCAUGACGGUACCUGAAGAAUAAGCACCGGCUAACUACGUGCCAGCAGCCGCGGUAAUACGUAGGGUGCAAGCGUUAAUCGGAAUUACUGGGCGUAAAGCGUGCGCAGGCGGUUAUGCAAGACAGAGGUGAAAUCCCCGGGCUCAACCUGGGAACUGCCUUUGUGACUGCAUGGCUAGAGUACGGUAGAGGGGGAUGGAAUUCCGCGUGUAGCAGUGAAAUGCGUAGAUAUGCGGAGGAACACCGAUGGCGAAGGCAAUCCCCUGGACCUGUACUGACGCUCAUGCACGAAAGCGUGGGGAGCAAACAGGAUUAGAAACCCUGGUAGUCCCA